AAAUUCUCAACUUUAUAAGUUUUUACUUAUUAAAGCUUGGAUGUUGGAGGCUUGCAGGCGUUUGUCAGCUCCUCUUAAAUUUAUUAGUGGGAACCCUGUUUUGUUAGUUCUAACCUUGGUGUGAUAAUUAUCUACAUUUUGGUGGAACCUUACAAUAAUAAAGCUCUAUUGGUUUGGGUUGUUGCAUUUAGUUUGCUCAAUCUGUUCUAUUCAUUGGAGAAAAAGGGAAGUUCUGCUUUCUAACUGUCUUGAUUGACUAUAUAUAACUUAUUU
rnacentral:misc_RNA from 1 species